UACGGGGGGGGCAAGCGUUGUUCGGAAUUACUGGGCAUAAAGGGCUCGUAGGCGGCCAACUAAGUCGGAUGUGAAAUCCCCAGGCUUAACCUGGGAACUGCAUCCGAUACUGGAUGGCUUGAAUCCGGGAGAGGGAUGCAGAAUUCCAGGUGUAGCGGUGAAAUGCGUAGAUAUCUGGAGGAAUACCGGUGGCGAAGGCGGCAUCCUGGACCGGCAUUGACGCUGAGGAGCGAAAGCUAGGGGAGCAAACGGG
rnacentral:rRNA from 1 species